UCCUCCUCCACGCUUUAGGGCCGGGCCACUCCUUCUGCCACGUCUGCAUUUCGGGGACCCGGAUGCCGCGCAUGCGCCUCUUUCAUCUUCCCAUUAUGGCCGCCGCCUGUGCCCCUCUGCUGAGUCGUCCUGCACUCAUUGGAUCAGCUGACUACCUAGACCGGUAACCUGGCUCAAUCAGUUCUGCCAUUACACCCAGGAACAGAAAACAGCAAGAAAACCUCACUUCGACUCCCUGUGAUUCCGUCUUCAACCUGACCAAUCAGCACUCCCCGCUUCCCAAGCUCCUACUCGCCAAAUUAUCUUUAAGAACUCUGAUCCUCAAAUGCUCA
rnacentral:lncRNA from 1 species